GCCGAAGUGGUGAAACUGGUAGACACGCUACCUUGAGGGGGUAGUGGACUUAUGUCCGUGCGAGUUCGAGUCUCGCCUUCGGCACCA
rnacentral:tRNA from 1 species